AGUUGGUGAGGGCCACAGCAUAGUCCUUUAGUCUCUAUGGACCAGAUGGCCAGUUGGUGAGGGCCACAGCAUAGUCCUUUAGUCUCUAUGGACCACAGUGGCCAGUUGGUGAGGGCCACAGCAUAGUCCUUUAGUCUCUAUGGACCAGGUGGUCAGUUGGUGAGGGCCACAGCAUAGUCCUUUAGUCUCUAUGGACCAGGUGGUCAGUUGGUGAGGGCCACAGCAUAGUCCUUUAGUCUCUAUGGAGCACAGCAUAGUCCUUUAGUCUCUAUGGGCCAGAUGGCCAGUUGGUGAGGGCCACAGCAUAGUCCUUUAGUCUCUAUGGACCAGGUGGCCAGUUGGUGAGGGCCACAGCAUAGUCCUUUAGUCUCUAUGGGCCAGAUGGCCAGUUGGUGAGGGCCACAGCAUAGUCCUUUAGUCUCUAUGGGCCAGGUGGCCAGUUGGUGAGGGCCACAG
ensembl:lncRNA